rfam:Oryza sativa Japonica Group DNA, chromosome 9, cultivar: Nipponbare, complete sequence.
UAUAAGGGAUUUUGAGUUUUUGCUUGCAACGUUUAACCACUCGUCUUAUUCAAAAAAAUUUUGAACUUAUUAUUUAUUUUAUUUGUGACUUACUUUAUUAUUUACAGUACUUUAAGCACAACUUUUCGUUAUUUAUAUUUGCAAAAAAAAUUUAAAUAAGACGAGUGGUCAGAUGUUGCAAUAAAAACUCAAAAUCCCUUAUA